ACAGCAAAAUGUCCUUAAAAUUACCAAUUCAGGGGCAGCAACCUAUCAAAGGGUUGUCCAAUUCAUCUCAAAAUUUCAGGGCAGAUAGAUCUUGACCUGAUAAACAAUUUUACCCGUUGUCAGAUUUGCUCUAAAUGCUUUGGUUUUUGAGUGAUAAGCCAAAAACUGCAUUUUACCCCUAUGUUCUAUUUUUAGCCAUGGCGGCCAUCUUGGUUGGUUGGCCAGGUCACCGGACACAAUUUUUUAACUAAAUACCCCAAUGAUGAUUGUGGUCAAGUUUGGUUUAAUUUGGCCCAGUAGUUUCAGAGGAGAAGAUUUUUGUAAAAGAUGACUAAG
rnacentral:lncRNA from 1 species